ACGAACGCUGGCGGCGUGCUUAACACAUGCAAGUCGAACGGAAAGGCCCCUUUGGGGGUACUCGAGUGGCGAACGGGUGAGUAACACGUGAGUAACCUGCCCUUGACUUCGGGAUAACUUCAGGAAACUGGUGCUAAUACCGGAUAGGAAUCCUUGCUGCAUGGUGGGGGUUGGAAAGCUUCGGCGGUUUUGGAUGGACUCGCGGCUUAUCAGCUUGUUGGUGGGGUAGUGGCUUACCAAGGCUUUGACGGGUAGCCGGCCUGAGAGGGCGACCGGCCACAUUGGGACUGAGAUACGGCCCAGACUCCAACGGGAGGCAGCAGUGGGGAAUAUUGAACAAUGGGCGGAAGCCUGAUGCAGCAACGCCGCGUGCGGGAUGACGGCCUUCGGGUUGUAAACCGCUUUCAGCAGGGGCGAAGCUUGUGGUGACGGUACCUGCAGAAGAAGCACCGGCUAACUACGUG
rnacentral:rRNA from 1 species